rnacentral:rRNA from 1 species
GUGAGGAAUAUUGGUCAAUGGGCGAGAGCCUGAACCAGCCAAGUAGCGUGCAGGAUGACGGCCCUAUGGGUUGUAAACUGCUUUUACACGGGGAUAAAGUGUGCGACGUGUCGUUCAUUGCAGGUACCGUGCGAAUAAGGACCGGCUAAUUCCGUGCCAGCAGCCGCGGUAAUACGGAAGGUCCGGGCGUUAUCCGGAUUUAUUGGGUUUAAAGGGAGCGUAGGCCGUCUGUUAAGCGUGUUGUGAAAUGUAGAUGCUCAACAUCUGAAUUGCAGCGCGAACUGAUAGACUUGAGUGCGCAGGAAGUAGGCGGAAUUCGUGGUGUAGCGGUGAAAUGCUUAGAUAUCAUCCAGAACACCAAUUGCGAAGGCAGCUCACUAAGGCGAUACUGACGCUGAGGCACGAAAGCGUGGGGAUCGAACAGGAUUAGAAACCCCUGUAGUCC